rnacentral:rRNA from 1 species
UACGGAGGGGGCUAGCGUUGUUCGGAAUUACUGGGCGUAAAGCGCACGUAGGCGGCUUUGCAAGUUAGAGGUGAAAGCCCGGGGCUCAACUCCGGAAUUGCCUUUAAAACUGCAUCGCUAGAAUUGUGGAGAGGUAAGUGGAAUUCCGAGUGUAGAGGUGAAAUUCGUAGAUAUCAGGAGGAACACCAGCGGCGAAGGCGGUGGUCUGGGCCAAUACUGACGCUGAGGAGCGAAAGCGUGGGGAGCGAACAGG